GACGAACGCUGGCGGCGUGGAUUAGGCAUGCAAGUCGAACGGUAUCAUCCUUUCGGGGGUGAGAGAGUGGCGAACUGGUGAGUAACACGUAGGUUAUCUACCCUCAAGACGGGGACAACCCAGGGAAACUUGGGCUAAUACCGGAUGUGAGCAACUUUUAGUUGUUUGAAAGGUGGCGUAAGCUGUCGCUUGGGGAUGAGCCUGCGUCCUAUUAGUUAGUUGGUGAGGUAACGGCUCACCUAGGCAAUGAUAGGUAGGCGGCCUUAACGGGUGGUCGCCCACACUGGGAUUGAGAUACGGCCCAGACUCCUACGGGAGGCAGCAGUCGAGAAUAGUCUACAAUGGUCGGAAGACUGAUAGUGCGACGCCGCGUGAACGAUGAAUCCCUUCGGGGUGUAAAGUUCUUUUAUAUGUGAGCAGUGCUUCUUAUAUUUAACAGUAUGGGGAGAGAGAUAUUAGCAUAUGAAUAAGCAACGGCUAACUCCGUGCCAGCAGCCGCGGUAAUCUCG
rnacentral:rRNA from 1 species